UUUCCGUAGGUGAACCUGUGGAAGGAUCAUUACUGAGUCUUCUGAUCCGCAAGGAUCGGUCGCUCUACCCCUUGAUAUUUGGUCGGUGGAGGCGGUUUUCUUGGGGGGCAACCCCCUUUGCGAGCCGCCGAAACCUCUUAUCUCUUCGGAGGUCGUGGUGAGAGCCCGGCCCCGGCACGUAAAACUAUUCGAUACUUUGAAGUCUGAGUGGGUACCAAUAGAAGCAAAACUUUCAACAACGGAUCUCUUGGCUCUGGCAUCGAUGAAGAACGCAGC
rnacentral:misc_RNA from 1 species